rnacentral:rRNA from 1 species
GUGGGGAAUCUUAGACAAUGGGCGCAAGCCUGAUCUAGCCAUGCCGCGUGAGCGAUGAAGGCCUUAGGGUUGUAAAGCUCUUUCGCUGGGGAAGAUAAUGACUGUACCCAGUAAAGAAGCCCCGGCUAACUCCGUGCCAGCAGCCGCGGUAAUACGGAGGGGGCUAGCGUUGUUCGGAAUUACUGGGCGUAAAGCGCGCGUAGGCGGAUUGGAAAGUUGGGGGUGAAAUCCCGGGGCUCAACCCUGGAAUGGCCUUCAAAACUCCCAGUCUUGAGGUCGAGAGAGGUGAGUGGAAUUCCGAGUGUAGAGGUGAAAUUCGUAGAUAUUCGGAGGAACACCAGUGGCGAAGGCGGCUCACUGGCUCGAUACUGACGCUGAGGUGCGAAAGCGUGGGGAGCAAACAGGAUUAGAUACCCGGGUAGUCC